rnacentral:misc_RNA from 1 species
GAUGAAGAACGUAGCGAAAUGCGAUAAGUAAUGUGAAUUGCAGAAUUCAGUGAAUCAUCGAAUCUUUGAACGCACCUUGCGCCCUUUGGCCAUUCCGAAGGGCAUGCCUGUUUGAGUAUCAUGAACACCUCAACUCUUUAUGGUUUUCCAUGAUGAGCUUGGACUCUGGGGGUUUUGCUGGCUCACAGUCGGCUCCUCUAAAAUAAAUCAGCUUACCAGUGUUUGGUGGGUAUCAUGGGUGUGAUAACUAUCUACGCUUGUGGUUUUUCCACCAGGUAACCUUCAGCAGUGGAGGUUCGCUGGAGCUCAUAGACGUCUCUCCUCAGUGAGGACAGCCCUCUGAACGUUUGAUCUCAAAUCAGGUAGGACUACCCGCUGAACUUAAGCAUAUCAAUAAGCGGAGGA